CUCUGCAGACUCUCAGGAGAGCCGCGAGUCAUUGGAGGGUCUUCCUGACUCCUCAGAUACUAAACUAUUGAGUGCUGCAGAAUCUCCUAAUCAUGAAGGUGUGUUUGUGAAGCGUGACGUGGCCUCUAUCAUCAUGAGACAGAAGAGGGCUGGAACUGCACCUGGAGACCUGACUCCAUUUCAGCUCGAGAGUCUCAGAGAGGUGUGUGAGACAAAUGUGGCCUGUGAGCACAUGAUGGACACGUCUGGAAUCAUCACCGCCUAUAAAACCUACUAUGGGCCCAUUCCCUUCUAGAACCACACACACACACACACACACACACA
ensembl:processed_transcript